UUUGCAUCGCUGCUCUGCGGGUUUCGCCUCUACAGUCAUGGAAAUGAUAAAUAUUAUAUCGCCCAGAGAUAAUGUUGCUAAUCGUUUGUAACGAUGGGAUUAAGCUGAAAGAGAUGAAGCCCCGCUAGGAUUAAACUCGAGAGUAAUCUAGAGAAUAAAUAUAGAUCAAUGUCCUCUAGAUGAAUAUACGAAAUUAUUAGAGGUUUUAACAAUGUUUGAGGAUCGUUUAAGGGAUUAAUUUGAACGGAGACGUAAACGAAUGAUGAUAUGGUAAUAAUAUUACGGUUAGAAAUAAAUGUAAAUUUCAAAUACGACGUUGUAUCGUGGGAGACAAAUAUGAAUCGAUACCCCUGUAGUUAGAAAGAAAAAUACAGAUAAAGUAGAAGCGUUAUAGACGAUAGCACGAGAAGCGUGACAUAAAAUGAGAUUUAAAUUAGAAAACGUAAUUCACGCCAUCGUAUUUUGCAAGUUUAUUUUUACCGACAAUCGCGUUAUGUACUCGCGUUACAUUCCCUUUUUUUGGCGUUUAACGAGGAUUAACAAAUAACUUUGCUCGUAAGGUAUUACGUAUAUUGUGGCGUCGUUGGGAUACUAAAUUAUCCAAGCAUUUCCCAGCAUUUGCAUUUGCUAAUUAAAAAAGAAAUGGGAUAAAAAGGAUGAAAAUUGUUUGAAACGAUAUCGUUAAAAGUAGCGAUUACAUAUUUUAAUCAACCUCGUAUUUCCUACGUAAAUCGUGUUACUACCAUCGUCAUGUAAAUUUGCCACGACACACAUACAUUACCAGAUAACUUGUCUCUCGUAUCUAGCCAACGAUUAAUCUCCGUAACGUGGCGAUUAAACCACGACUGUGAGUAGGCAAGAAUAUCGAUUCAAACGAAUCAGAUGCAAAACAUGGUGUGUACGAUGUUCGUGUGCGUGUGCACGAGCCGAGGAACAGUUAACCGUUAUGGGAAGGGAGAAAAACACGCGCUAACGAACUUCAUGUUGACCAAUAGUCGUGGCGCGUUCUUGUUCGACCUACACGUCCGAUAAAUGAAUUCUGGUAAAAUUUUUUAUCGUUAAAAUACCUCGACUUCACGAAAGUCAACAUGCAGAAGGGACAAGAGGGGAAUAACUACAGAUGGACGGGACACUCAAUAUACCAUAUAUUGCGCGAGCAUGUUUCACUGGUAUCUCGCUCUUCUUGGAACACACAGAAGAAGUUAGACGUUCUUCCUCACCAAGCUCAGGUCAUAUACAUUCGCUGGUUCCUUAAUUGCCAGCCAGGAGUGGUUUCUCAGGAGGCAUACCGACUAGUCUCUUUUCAACCCAUACACUGACAAUGUGCUUCAUGCGACCUUCCGUACAAUCCAGUUUCACGAUCGUGGGACGAUCAGAAAAAAAAUCGCCUUGCGCAAGGGUUCGCUGCUUCGGCCGUCAGUUUAAAGUUUCUUAACGACUGGCGGAACUGGAUUUAAAGUGAACACGAUUUUACGAUCUUGUUAUAGGUGUAUCUUAGAUCUUUCAUUGUGUUUAUAAGAUGAUAGAUCGACCAGAUUACUUUAACUGGAUCUACCGACUACUAAAGUGUAAAACAUUUUCAAAAGAAAUCAAAAUGAAAGUUAUAUGAAAAAAUAUAUAAAGUAAAUCCCUAAAAUUAUGCGCCGCUGUAAAUUUAUAAAAUUUGUAUAAAAAUUACAAAUUGAUAUUAAUGCGACUAUUGAGCAACGUUGAAGUUUGUUAGCGUAUGUUUUUUCUGAUAUUAAAAAAAUGUUUUACUGAUAUUAUUAUGAGAUUUUUUUACAGAAUAAUUAGUGACGCAUAAAAAUUAUUGAUAAUAAGAAAUAUUAUUUUUAUGAACAAUGUAUAUUAUUGUUGAAUGUGAUAAAAAAGUAUCGCAUAAUGUUAGCGUGACGUCUCUGGGUUAGCGGGUUGAUGUCGAAUAAAAUGAAGACUUACACGCGGUCGUACUACGUGUAUAUGGCUGAUACGUAUACGAGAAGUGAUUGUCAGAAGUGACACGGCACGGGGGAGUAAAUCACGUCGGCAUUAAGACAAUUAGGUGUAGAACGACGGGUUCAGCCAAGUCAGUUGACAUGUCUUGGACAGAAACAGAUGUCUAAUAUGCCUUUUAUUUCGACUCCAUGGUCAACCAUACAUGCACAUAUAAGUUAAACACUUAUUCGAACCACAGGACGUACGUAGGAUAAAUGCAUGGGCGUCGAUACGGAGCAUUAGAAAUGAGGAAUAAUGUGACACAUAUAUUGUAAUCAUGUUGCAUUUCACGAAUAAAUCGCUAGCGGCAACCAUGUGCAUGAUACUAUUGAGAGAGUGUGCGUGUAUGCAAAAGUCUGCCCGUGCUGCGGUCGUGCAAUUGUGCGAAGGAAAUGAGAUCAAGUUUGAGUGAUUGCGGACAGCAGUCGAACAGAGGCGGAGAGAGGCAGGGAAUGGAGAUAGGACAGUUCAAGAACCGAAUCUACAGAUUGCCAGCUGGAUAAACUGGAACAAACGAAAUACUAGAUUUCUACGAGUAUCAAAUACCAUCGUUUAUAAUUAUUGAUACUUAAAAUAUAAAAAUAUAUUAUUACAGAGAAA